ACCCAUAACCCAUGUCAUAACAGUUGAAGGGAAUAUUUAAUAUUCAGACUUAAUUAUAUACUAAGAGAAGGAAUAUUGAAUCUUCCUUGGCCAAAUUCCUCUAAACCGGUUGGAUUUUUACCGGAGUCAACCUAUAACGCCAAAUUCAUCGUUUGUUGCUCCAAAACUUGUCGGAAAACCCGAAUUCCGGCCGAUGAGGAUCCGUGACCCGACCCGGGACAAUUUUUGUGUGUUUUUCUUCAAUUGAUCGCGCAAAGUUGCUGGAAAUGAAUAUCAAAAGUUUACCUUGCCGGAAUGAAUAGCCAAGCUGAGGUCUCGGAAAAUCUGAACAUCUGGCCUAGAUGGAUAUUUAAAGCUUACAUGACUAAGCUCAAUUUCUCCCUUCAGAUUAUCCAUUAUCAUGCCAGACUCAUCACUUGGAUCUAUCUUUGACUUUCUGUCUACUAUCGAAAAUACGGAAGCAGCAGCAUUCCCGGCUUUACCAGUAUCUGGACCCAUGGAGCUUGUCUGAGAAAUUCCCAUAGCAGCCAUGGUUAAAGCAAAGAAAACCUGAAAACCAAAUAUCCCUUGUCUGAUUAUAAAGUUAACUUGGUCUGAAUGAAUCUCGUUUUAGAUUUGUCCUGUUAGCAAAACACAAACUUUUGAUAAGCUUGUUAAAUAGAGAAGGAAUAUUUACUUGGAAAACAUCUGAGAAUGUUGCUCUUUUAGCCUCAACAAGUCGAGCACCUGCAUAGAAACUGGAAGCAUAGACAAGAAACAGCAAACUAAAAGAUGUCCCAUAUCCUAUUCCAGUGAUCAAGCCUUGCCUUAUCCCUGCCUGCCUUGGGCCUUCACAUUUGGUUUUGUAUAGAUGCAUCACCUUCUCUUCGGCACAGAAAGAAGCAACUGUUCUUAUACUCCCAACUGCAUCAUUAGCAACUUGGCUUGCUUCCUCGUACAUCAUCUGCAACCAUAUAGACUUAUAUUUGGAGGACCCAACUUUGAAAUUAAUUAAUUAGCUGUGCUUAAAAUGGAUGCUUGGAUUUUUUUUGAACUAAAAGCUCUCAAGUGAGCAGGCUGUUCUCUGCAUGACAAUUGGUUGUUUUCAGAUGGCUGAGUCCAUGUUAUUCAAUCAUGAACUUGUAUAGCAUGCUGGAGUCACAGAAAAAGAUGAAGAAGAAUAGGUUAUUAGGUUUAAAGCAGACCUUUGCAUCUUCACUGAAUCCUUUCAUGAACUUUAAUUGAACAUAUCCAUUGAUUCCAAUAAGAGGAAUCAAUGCAAGGACAAUAAAUGCCAACUGCCAACUUGCAACAAAUGCAAUGACCAAACCGGCAACUGCUGAAGCAAUAACAUGAAGCAUCUGACCAAGUGCAUCUCCAACAAGGGCACGCACUGUUGCUGCAUCUGCUGAGAGCCUAGCACCAAUUAAGCCACUUGAGUGCUCAUGCUCAUCAAACCAACCAAUCUCCAUGUGAACCAACUUCUCAAAACACAUCACUCUUAUACGUUCGAUUAACUUACAACCAGCCACAGAAAGGAAGUAUGCUCGUGCUGGAACUGACAGAAAUGAUACCACACCAAGGAUCACAAACAUUAUUGCCCAAAAAUUUGAAUCCUUUCUCAGUUGAUGAGGUGGUUCAAAAAAUGAUUUGAUUACCCUCGACAGCAGUAUGCCAAAUAAUGGAAGUAUUGCGCCAUUGAUGACCGCAGCUAUAGCCCCAAGAAGAAGAAUUGGAAUCUCUGGUUUGUUGAGGUAGGCAAGGCGGCGGAUUGAGACCUUCGGAAACUUUUCUACUGGUUCUGCCACUGAUUUAUCAUGGAUGGGGACUUCUGUGGGCAAACCAAAUGCUGUGAGAGAGAAUGAACGGCCGCUGCUACCAUUCAGCGAUGAUCCCCGACUUGAGGAUCUUAGGAAUGACUUUCUUUGACUGUUUCUCAGACUUGACUGUCUAAACAAUUCAGAAGUAAUUUCGGAUUUGUUUUGAUUGUCUGCAGCUUGUUCUGACUCCUUGUUUGCUUCUUGCAAGCGUAUAAGCUGAAAGUAUGCUCCCUCAGGAUCCUUGACCA